rnacentral:lncRNA from 1 species
AAGGAAAAAUCUUGUAUUGAAAUAAAUUUAUAUUAUAAUAUUUCAUAUUUAUUUAUAUUAUAAUAUUUCAUAUUUAUGGACACUUCAAGACAAGGGUUUUAGCUAUUGUUGUACUUCCAGCUACAUAUAUAUUUUCUUCUAAACUAUAAUACAUACACAGGAGCAUGCACAAACAAAUCUCCUGAUGCAAAAUAAAAACUGAGUAGUAUGCCCAAAAUACACGUCAGUGUCAAAUUAUACAAGUACAAUACUAAUUUUGAGGAUAGAUAGACUAAGACAGACCAAGAAACUGCUUGGAAGUCUAUUCAUUGGAGUACCAAAAUAAAAAAAGAAUAAGCAUCAAUAUUAGGAGUUGUGCUUUCCAUUCCUUUCAAAUAUGAUAAUAUCAUCAAAAAAGUAACGCACUCAUAUAAUCAAACUUGC